CUCGUGUUGUCAAGCACAAAAGGAAACCACUCUUUGCUCAACAUUGCAGAAGGCAUAACCCUACCGGGAAAUGGGUUUACCAAACUUGGCACUUUCAACUCAGCAUCUGAGUCCUUGAACUCAGUGGGGUCAAAUUUCUCUUCAUCAUGAAUCUUCUGCACAUAAAGCAUGAAGCCAAGAAAAGCUGCGCCCGAUGAAAAGAAAAUGUAACACGGAACCCCAAAUUCAUUAGCCACAUCUAUAAUCGACGAGCAGAAUGUAUCAACGACAAAACCUACCAGCUGAGGCGAGUCAACACUUGACACAAAGUCAGACUGA
rnacentral:misc_RNA from 1 species